rnacentral:rRNA from 1 species
GUCCACACAGUAAACGAUGGAUACUAGCUAUAAUGGGAAUCGACCCCUGUUGUGGCGUAGCUAACGCGAUAAGUAUCCCGCCUGGGGAGUAUGACCGCAAGGUUGAAACUCAAAGGAAUUGACGGGGCCCGCACAAGCGGUGGAGGAUGUGGUUUAAUUCGACGCAACGCGAAGAACCUUACCAAGACUUGACAUGGUGCAAAUGUUUUAGAAAUAAGAUAGUGCUCGAAAGAGAAUGUACACACAGGUGGUGCAUGGCUGUCGU